CUAGUCCACUCCUUGCUUCACCAGCACGUCCACAUGCACACACAAAAAAUGGAGAUGGGGGAACAGAGAGAAAGAGGGUCAAGACGAGGGACUAAUGAAAGAAAAAAGAAAGAAAGAUAAGAACGGAUGGAGUGUGAAAAAUAAUAGAUAAAUGACCUUCUCAGUCAAGGUGAUCCCCUCAGGAUAGUAAAAACUAAUAACAGAUAUUCGG
rnacentral:misc_RNA from 1 species